AAGGGGUACUGGGGCAGUUUGGGCACAGCAGUCAGAAAAGGCUUCCCAAGAAGGGUCCCUACAGCCUGUGGCUACACAACUUUACCACCAGAUGGCGCACACGUGUUGGAAAGGGGGUGAUGUGACUGAAUAGAGGUUGGGGGAAACCCAUCGAUCAUCGUUCCUGACUACAGAUGGAGCCAAAUUCAGAUGUACAGACCGGUGGAAGGACAAUCUGACCCUUCAAGAUAACAACAGGGACUUGAGGCUCACCAGAACACUGGCUGCACACCACGUGACAUCAAGGAACUUUGUUCAUGGAAUCCUGACCUCUGACUCAAGUCACCAGCAAGUCCCAUGAUCCCCUUCUCCCCUACAACCUUCCUGCAUGCCCCUGCGUUCCUUUUCUUCCUUGAAAAGUUAGUCUGAGAUGUGGGCUGACAUUGUUACUCUGCUCAUCUGUUGUUCUCCUGGCUGUAAAUAAAUUCCUUCUUCUGGCACUA